AGAUGAUGAUGCGGACAAUUUCUUUGAAGCUCUUUGAAGCGUUCCCAAGCUUGGUAUAGAGAUUCACCAUGUAAUUGGAGAAAAUCUAUAAUUUCCUUGGUCAUCCU